CGGGACCCCAGGUCAAGCGGGGCUACCCGCUGAGUUUAAGCAUAUCAAUAAGCGGAGGAAAAGAAACUAACAA
rnacentral:rRNA from 1 species